CUUAAAUCAUGUGCAUUUUUAAAAAAAUUGUGGGUUCAACAUUCUUCUAAUUAACAAAAGCAUCAGCAAAAUUUAACAGUCACCAUAAACCAUAAACGAGUACUGACUUACUUCAAAAGUAGGGCCUCCUGGUAAGUGAUGCGAAAAGUGCCUACAGUAGGAGCAGCCGAGCAGCAGGGCUGAAGGCUUGCUAAUACAAAAAGUACUUAAUUACCUAGGCAUAAGCAUUACUAUAGGCUACAACCGACAUUUUCUUCUCUUAAUCACUUCAAGUAAUAUUAACUAUCCGACCAUUAUGCAUCACCUCCUAACCUUAGAAUUGCGUUUCUUCUUGAACCCAUCUGGUGUCUUCACCUGACUCGGUCUCUUCGUCUUUGCACUCUUUUCAUUCUUGUUUGCCUUCUUGAGAGCCUCGGGGGUCUUAACAUGGCUAAGCCUCUUGGUCUUAGCUGCUUUCACUGUAAUCUUCUUGUCUAUUUUCUCUUUACGCGCUAUAGGCUUCUUGGCAAGGACCUUUGCGUCCUGGGUUUCUUUGAUGGCCAACUUAAGCUUCUCGGUGGAAGAUAACUUGUAGGAAUUUUUAACCAUGAUGAGUCUCUCUGAUUUCACGAACCUCUUCAAUUGGACGGAGAGGAGUUUCUUGAAAUUCGAAGGCAGCAAGGUGUUCUUGUACUUGUCCUCAAUGAAUUUUGCAAUGGCAGGCUGGCUCGAUCCUGUCCUCUCCUUGAGUGUGGAUAUAGCUUCACUUAUCAUCUCAAAGUAAGGGGGGUGGUGGAGAGCAGCAGGGGAGUUGGUGGUCUUUCCUUUUGCCAUUUUCUGACGGUUAAUUUGCAGAGAAAGAGAGGCAAAGUGAGUAAGUAUAAAAUUAAAUUAGUAUUGGAAAUUGGAAUGGGAUGAGCAGGGGAUUUUCAAUUUCAAAUUUCGUUUAGGCGCGGAGUAAAUUUUUAGACGUCUUUGUUUCUUAGGACCUAGGCUUGUGAUUUCACUGAUUUCAGAUUUGAUUGAGCAGUCGCAGCGGCCUACGAGAAUCAUCCAAAUGAGAUGGGCAGAUGGUUUAGUUGUCAUGGCAACUAGUUAGGGCCUGUUUGUAUUGGAAAUUGGAAUGGGAUG
rnacentral:misc_RNA from 1 species